UACGGGGGGGGGCAAGCGUUGUUCGGAAUUACUGGGCGUAAAGCGCGUGUAGGCUGCUCGGAAAGUCGGAUGUGAAAGCCCUGGGCUCAACCUAGGAAGUGCAUUCGAAACUUCCGAGCUGGAGUGCUGGAGAGGAAGGCGGAAUUCUCGGUGUAGAGGUGAAAUUCGUAGAUAUCGAGAGGAACACCGGUGGCGAAGGCGGCCUUCUGGACAGCCACUGACGCUGGAGACGCGAAAGCGUGGGGAGCAAACAGG
rnacentral:rRNA from 1 species